rnacentral:pre_miRNA from 1 species
UCUUAUGGAUGAGUAAAGAAAAUGGAUUCUUAAGAUGGAAUCUACUGCUGGUGAAGAUGCUGUGAA